rnacentral:rRNA from 1 species
GACGAACGCUGGCGGCGUGCUUAACACAUGCAAGUCGAACGGAGUGGCGAACGGGGGAGUGACACGCGGGUGACCUGCCCUGCACUUCGGGGUAAGCCUGGGCAACUGGGUCUAAUACCGGGUAGUGUGGGAUGGGCCAGCGGCCGAUCAGCGUGUUGGUGGGGUAAUGGGCUACCAAGGCGGCGACGGGGAGCCGGCCUGAGGGGGUGGACGGCCACAGGGGGAAGGAGACACGGCCCAGAGGCGGACGGGAGGGAGAAGUGGGGGGUAUUGAACAAUGGGCGGAAGCCUGACGCAGCGAGGCCGAGUAGGGGAUGAAGGCUGUAGGGUUGUAAACCUAUUUAGGUAUCGACAGGGUAGGUGGAGAAGAAGCGCCGGCUAACUACGUGCCAGCAGCCGCGGUAAUUC